CUGCUGGGGGUCAGUUGGGAAGGGCCAGGUUCCUUCCGCCGCUAUUCCACGCUGCGGGGUCGCUCUGGGGACGGCGGGGCUGCCGCGUCAGACGGGGCUGCUUUGUGGGCUGUGGGGCAGACGACCUGGGAGUCCCAAGAGGAUCUCGAAGGCUCGGUUGUGGCCCGCAGAGGCCUCGGACUGGCGAGUCACAUGUGUGCAAAGAACACCAGAGCAGUUGGUGCUGCAUUUAUUAGAGUGACUUUGGCCCUUGAGGCCAUCCCCCAGAUAAACUGACCAGUGAAACAACUUGAGGGAUGAAGGUUUGAAUAACCAAGUUGACAUCAGUGUCUCCAGAAUCCUGAAUUAUAUACAAUCAUUACUAUGUGGAAUGAAAAGAAAGUGAAUAAAGAACAAACAUUCAAGGCUCCCUGAA